rnacentral:snoRNA from 10 species
UGAGCCAGUGAUGAAAACUGGUGGCAUAGAAGUCAAGGAUGCUGAAUAAUGUGUGUCUAGAACUCUGAGGUUCAA